CUCGAGUAGGGCCCAAGCCAGCCAGGAAGGAGGAGGCAGCCAGAGUGUUCUCUGCAGCAGAAGACCCCCUGCUGCCCUGCUUAACCCAGACCAGCAUUUGCCAGGGAUGCCAGUUGUCGAGAGCCGACAUCAUCUCCCACAAUGCCUUUCAGGGAAGAACUCUGAGCAGCCAUGGUUGUUAGAAGCUGAUGCAACACAAAAAUAAAUCAACAUGUCCUGUCAUGAUGUGGCUUCAUUCUGAUCAGUCCUGCUUGACAAACUUUAUCCUUUAGUGCAGGAGGGGAAAAUGAAAAUUGAAAGGAUUUGGGUAGUGAGUUUCCUUUUUUGGUUGUCGCAAAGAAUCUCUUUUUGACCAAAAAAAAAAAAAGAGUUGAAAUUUGCUGAGCUUUAUUGAUGUGUUGUAGCAAAGUGUCUGUCAUUAUGAUGGUCUCUACAUUGCAAGGUUUCGGGGAGAUACAUGGUGUUCUCUAGAGCUUCUCUCAGUGGAAGCUCACCAUCCACCAUACUGAGGCCUCUAGUACAGCACUGUCAUUUCCCCCAGAGGUGUGAGUGCUAGUUGAACACAUACAUGAACACGCAUACACACACACACACACACACACACACACACUCCAUAUGUGUCACUCAAUAUAACUGCCCCAAAUUUGGUUCAAAUCAGUUAGGUGGUUCAUUAGGUAGCCCAGUUACUCCUGAAACAUUCAUGCGUCCACCGUCUUGAAUCAGGGUGGAUGGAUAUCAUUACAAAAUUGUACUUUGGUCUGAUGGUGACUCGGGAGCAGGCCUUCUCUGUAGUUGCUCCUAGGCUGUGGAAUGUGCUCCCUAGAGACAUUUGUGGUUUAACAUCUUUGCCACCCAUCAAAAGAUCCCUUAAGACACAUUUUUUUUAGCCAGGCUUUUAGUAAUCUUUGAAUGUUUUAAAUUUUUAAAUUGCUGUUUUUAACAGUUUGUUUGAUUUUGUUUUUCUUGUGUUUCUUUUUGUGAAUCUCCUAGAGCCUUUGGAGUCAGGCGGUAUAUUAGAUAGAUAGAUAGAUAGAUAGAUAGAUAGAUAGAUAGAUAGAUAGAUAGAAUACACCAUUAAGAUGUCCCUACAGGUGAAACUCGGAAAAUUAGAAUAUCGUGCAAAAGUCCAUUAAUUUCAGUAAUGCAAAUUAAAAGGUGAAACUGAUAUAUGAGACAGACACAUUACAUGCAAAGCGAGAUAAGUCAAGCAUUAAUUUGUUAUAAUUGUGAUGAUCAUGGCGUACAGCUCAUGAAAACCCCAAAUCCACAAUCUCAGAAAAUUAGAAUUACAUGGAACCAAGAAGUAAUUUGCAUUACUGAAAUUAAUGGACUUUUGCACGAUAUUCUAAUUUUCCAAGUUUCACCUGUAUGUGUCACUCAUUACAACUGUACAAUGCAGAUCCUUUAUAUCUAUCCCAGAAAUAAUAGCUCAAACCAAUAGACAACAAACAAAAUUUGAAGAACUGGCUUUGGGAGCCUCGGACUCCCUGAAAAGUGUGGUUUUGAAAUUAUAUGAGUUGAUUAUAAAGCACACAUGUAACCCUCUACCUGGCCUCAAAGUUUCUCGGGGAAAUGACUUCCAAAAGGAAAUCAAAGACCAGGAGUGGUUGAACAUUUGGAAAUGCAACCUCAGCCCAAAUUAAGGAAAACUUUCUCAAAGUUUUUCAUCGAUGGUACCUGAUCCCAGGAAAGUUAGCACACAUUUAUAAAAAUUGCUCCUCACUUUGCUGGAAAGGUUGUGGGUUAAAGGGAACCUAUUUUCAUCUUUGGUGGACCUGCCCCAGGGUCUUGUACUUUUGGUCAGUGAUAUUCUCAGAGAUGAGCAAAAUCACAAAUCAGAGAAUAGGAUUAUGGCCCCAGCUGGAGUUAGUAAAUAUAUUGUCUGGGGUCAACACAGAUGUGUCAUCAAAAGAAUUAGUGGUGUUUAUGGUAACUGUGGCCAGGUUAGCUUUAGCCAAGAACUAGAAAAAUCGAACCACUGGUAUAAACAUCUAUGGCACAUCCCAACAUCAGAAAAGUUAUCUCAUAUUAUUUGGUCUCGUGCAAAUCAGACCACAAAUAAUUCUUUUUAUGUUAUAUGGUCAGAUUUUAUUCAUUACACCAAUUGGGAGAAUUAUGGUUGUCUUCUUAUCCUAGAUAAUAUUAGAAUGUGGAUGGAUAGCGGAAUUGGGGUUUGUUGUAUGAUGUUUUGCUAUUUGUGGCUGGAUUAAUUUUGAUUUGCAUUGUAAAUUUUCUUCUAAUAAAGUUAAAAAAAACAGUUA